UAUUAUUGAUUAAACUCAAAGGUGUGCACUUAACCUCCACUCGUUCGAAGAAAGAAAAAAAAAACAAGUUUCUUUCCAUUCUUCUUAAUCUUCAAGCACAAAUACAAAAUCUAAAUAUUUGAUGUUAAUAUUUUCUAUAGUCUAAAUCUCAUGUCAUAAGGUUCAAAGGAGGAAGCUUUGGAAAAGAUCUGUACUAGCAAAAUCAUACGGGACCCAAGACCAUGUUGUACUCAUUUCCAC
rnacentral:lncRNA from 1 species